rnacentral:rRNA from 1 species
UACGGAGGGUGCAAGCGUUAUCCGGAUUCACUGGGUUUAAAGGGCGCGUAGGCGGUUCGAUAAGUCCCGUGUGAAAUCCCUCGGCUCAACUGAGGAAUGGCACGGGAAACUGACGGGCUUGAGUUCGGGAGAGGGAAGCGGAAUUCCGGGUGUAGCGGUGAAAUGCGUAGAUAUCCGGAGGAACACCGGUGGCGAAGGCGGCUUCCUGGACCGACACUGACGCUGAGGCGCGAAAGCUAGGGGAGCAAACGGG